rnacentral:rRNA from 1 species
GAUGAACGCUGGCGGCGUGCCUAAUACAUGCAAGUCGAGCGAACAGAUGAGGAUCUUGCUCCGCGGACGUUAGCGGCGGAGGGGUGAGUAACACGUGUAUAACCUACCUAUAAUACUGAGAUAACUUCGGGAAACCGGAUCUAAUACCGGAGAAGAUAUUGAACCGCAUUGUUCAAUAGUGAGAUACGGUUUUGCUGUCACUUAUAGAGGCAUCCGCGCCUCAUUAGCUAGUUGGUAAGGUAACGGCUUACCAAGGCAACGAUGCGUAGCCGACCUGAGAGGGGGGUCGGCCACACUGGAACUGAGACAGGGUCCAGACUCCUACGGGAGGCCGCAGUAGGGAAUCUUCCGCAACAGUCGAAAGCCUGACGGAGCAACGCCGCGUGAGUGAUGAAGGUCUUCGGAUCGUAAAACUCUGUUAUUAGGGAAGAACAAAUGUGUAAGUAAAUAUGCACGUCUUGACGGUAACUAAUCAGAAAGCAACGGCUAACUACGUG